rnacentral:rRNA from 1 species
UAAGGAAUAUUGCUCAAUGGGAGAAAUCCUGAAGCAGCAACGCCGCGUGGAGGAUGAAGGGUCUAUGACUUGUAAACUCCUGUAAAGAAGGAAAAAAUUCCCAUUAGAUGGGAGAUGAUGGUACUUCUGGAGUAAGCCCCGGCUAACUACGUGCCAGCAGCCGCGGUAAUACGUAGGGGGCAAGCGUUGUCCGGAUUUACUGGGUGUAAAGGGUGCUCAGGCGGAUUUGUAAGUCAGAGGUGAAAUCUUACAGCUUAACUGUGAAACUGCCUUUGAUACUGCAAGCCUAGAGUAUGGAAGAGAGUGAUGGAAUAUCUGGUGUAGCAGUGAAAUGCGUAGAUAUCAGAUAGAACACCAAUGGCGAAGGCAGUCACUUGGUCCAUUACUGACGCUAAAGCACGAAAGCGUGGGUAGCA